GGCAACUCUGUGCACAGACCGAGGAAGGAAACGCCUGGGAGCCAGCAAAGUAUUUCCUUGGUGGUUGGGACAGACCAAGGGUAAAAGGGACAGCCAAUUGAACUAGAGCACAAGUACCACUCCAAUUAUUUGGCAGAGUGUCCAGUAAAGGUCCUCCACAAUACCACCAGACAUCUGCUCCGGGAUGAAUAAGGACGGACUGAUGGGUCAGCUCUUGGCAGUGCCUGACCUCACUGCAUCCUGUUAAGUCUCCAAGGAACACCAAAUUUUCCCCUUGUCGUUGGAGACAUGAGGUAAAGUUGCUCUUGGAAGAUGGAGGCUGGAUGGCCUGCGGGGGCUGACCCGCAGGAUGCUGCACUUCAGGAAAUAGCAGAGAGACAGUUUGGCACAGUUCAUUAUCCCAGGCUGUAGGAUUUUGAAAAACAGCUACCAUGCAGUCCAUGUCUUGUCGAUUAGAGGGCCAUCUGAGUGGAAAGGGGACAAUCUGGGCCUCUGGCCUACCAUGUGUAGGAGCGUAACAAUCGCUUUUAUUUAAAGUGCAGAUGGAAUAUUUAAUCCAUUCUAGCCAGGCAUUUACAUCCUGAUACCCUGUCUCAAUUGCUAUGGUUUGCCUUAGGUUUUCUACUUUUACUACGGAGAUUUUGGUUUUGUCAUUGUGUCUGGGAGGAGUGAUUGAUAGAGGUUGAAGAAGCAAUAAAGCAUAUUUCAAAAAUUCCCUUACUAUCUUUCCUGAAAUGUCAGCUCCCAUACCAUAAAUAUGACUUAAUGAAGGGGAAGAGUUUUCAGAUGUUGCAAUAGUAAUAGUAAGCUGUAUAGGAUUACACUGGUUAUAUUGACAGCUAGAAGGAGUAAUUCUUUUGGUGAAAUGAAUAUAUGGUUUUAAGGACUGACAAAGACCCGUGGAAGCAGUCUAUCUUAGACCUUUAGUGUUCCAUAGGACAUUAGACCAAGCAGAACAUAGAGAUUCUGUUUUAGAGGGACAAGAGUCUGAUUCCCACCAAUUAAUACAACUAGUAUUCUCUGGAUUACUAGUAUCCUUGCAGGAACUCAAUAUGUCUUCCCAAUCUGAGGAAGUCCAAGAGGGACAGAGAUAUUUUUCCGAAGUAGUAAACUGUCUUUGGUUAUGCAAAUCUCCACAGGGUAUAACUAAACAGGCAUCAGAAGUAAUAACUUGAGGUGAGUUAGAUCUAGUUACGUUAAUAAUAAGAUGGGGAGUAGUUAAAGGGAAGAAAAGAAAAAUAAAAGAUAGAUAGAUUAAGCUUUUCUUAACUUUAAUUUGGUAGGGCUUGAUCCUGGAACAAUGACCCACGAUUCCGAAGGUGAUGACGUUUUCUUGACUUGGGUGUGAUGUGUUCAUCCUUUUUCUGCUGUGCCAAUGGCAGUCUCGGUGGUUAGCAGCACGAGGUAGGGUCCUUCCCAGGCUGGCUCGAGUUUUGCUUCUUUCCGUCCUUUGAUGGUCCCCAGGCUGGUGCUGGUGUACUGGAAAUUCUAGGGGUGGUGCCUGUGCUAGAAGACCUCUGGUUUUAAGUGAAAAAAAGGUAGAGGAGAGACCAAGUAUAUAAUUUCUGAGAAACUGAUCCUUUGAUUCAAAUGUGGGGGCAUGAGCAGUGGAAUAUAAGUAAGGCAACCCAUAUAACAUUUCAUAAGGGGACAGGCCAACAUCUUUCCAAGGGGAGGUUCUAAUCCUUAAUAAAACAAUAGGAAGGCAUUUAGCCUAUGGCAACCGGGUCUCUAGGACUAAUUUAGUUAGGUGGCUUUUAAGGGUUUGGUUCAUCCUUUCUACUCUCCCUGAGGAGGAUGGGUGCCAAGGAAUGUGAUAUUCCCACUUUAUGUCUAGUACUUGAGCCAACUUUUUAAUGAUAUGUGCAGUAAAAUGGGUUCCAUUGUCUGAAUCAAUGUUUUCUAUUAGUCCGAACCUGGGUGUAAUAUGUUCAAUUAUUGCUUUAACUACAUUACUAGCGGUUGCACUUGAAAAAGGGAUAGCCUCUACCCAAUGGGUGAAAUGAUCUACUAUUACCAAUAAAUACUUUAGCUGACCAGGUGGGGGCAUUUCAGCGUAAUCAACUUGGACACUUUGAAAUGGUCUUAGUCCUGGAUUUCUUCCUCCAAGUGGUAAUUUUCUUAGGGCUUGUUUAUUUGUUUUCUUACAAAUUAGACAACUGUCUUUAACUUGUUUUGCUAAAGUAUAAAUCUCAAUAUACCCAUAAACCCUGAGAACUGCAUCACACAUAACUUGGGGCUCCAGUGAGUUCUUUGAUGUAGUUAAGAUAAAACCUCCCUCAAAAGAGGCUUAGAUAAUAUUUCUUUCUGGUCUGGGAGUAUCUAUUUCCCUUCUGAAUUCCUUUGAGCUCCUAUUUUUACUAAUUUUUCCUUCUCAGUAUGACAGAAAAUAGGAACUACAGUGGGAGAAGGAAGACAAGGAGUUAAGUGAAAGAUGGUGUCUCAGAGGAAACAGCAGCUUGCUUGGCUCUUUGAUCCACAAGAGUAUUUCCUCAACUUUCAAAAUAAAAGUUGUGUUGGUGUCCUGGAACAUGGACAAUGUCUAUUUCCUCUGGUAACUGAAGAUUAUUCAGGACACAAUUAAUGUUUCAUAAGCAAGAUCUUGACCUUUACUAUUAAUAAGGCCCCGUUCGGCCCAAAUUUUUCCAAAUGUGUGAGACACCCCAAAAGCAUACUUAGAGUCAGUAUAGAUGGUUCCUACCUGGUUCUAUAAGUAUUUUAGGGCCUGGCUAAGUGCAAAUAGCUCACAGGCUUGGGGAGACCAACUAUUGGGUUAUCUUCCUGAUUCAACUUCUUUGAGAGUUUCCCCAUCGAUUACUGCAUACCCAUUAUGUCGUUUUCCCUCAAUUACCUGGGAGGAACCAUCUGUAAAUAAAGCUGCCCUGUCUUAAAGGGGGUUUCUACUAAAUCUGGGCUGACUUUCGUAUGGUAGUCAAUUAAAUCUAGACAUAGGUGUUCCCUUUUUAGCAGUGGGUUCCCUGUCAAGAAACCCACUGGGUUAAGUGAAUUGUCUGUAGUUAAGGUUAAAUCAUCUUUUUCUAAUAGGAUAGCUUCAUAUUUUAAAAUUCUGGAGUCAGUGAGCCAUCUUCCUGCCUUUUGGCUUAGGAUAGCUUGACUUGUUGAGGUGUACUCACUGUCAGAUAUCCUCCAAAAGUUAAUUUCCUGCUUUCUUCAACCAAUAUCACCGUGGCCACAAUGGAUUGAAUACGCUGAGGCCAUCUGCAGGCGACUGGAUCUAGAACUUUUGACAGGAAGGCCACUGGCUGUCGGCAGCCCCCAUGUUCUUGGGUAAGCACUCCUAGAGCCACUCCAUUAUCUACGUUAACAAAAAGAUGAAAUGGUUUUUCUAGAGAGGGUAGGGCCAGGACAGGAGCAGUUAUGAGUCUUUCCUUUUACUCCCCAACCUGAUCAACCUCUUCAGAAGUCCAUAUGAAGAGAUCAGGUUCUCCUUUAGUUAGCUUCUCAUAUGGAAGUUUACUUUUUAAUGCAUAUGAGUCAAUCCAUAAAUGGCAGUAUCCAACUAACCCUAAAAAUUUCCUGAGUUCUUGCUUGGUUUGAGGCAAGGGCAAAGACACAAUUCCUUUGACCCAUUUGGGUCCUAUUCUUCCUUUGUCUGCAUUUAUUAAAUGGCCUAAGUAUUUAACUUCAGGUUCUACAUAUUGAAGCUUUCUCUUUGAGACCCAUACCCUUCAAACUGUAAGUGGUUAAGAACGUGUGUAGAAAACCCAGCUACCUUCUCUAUGUCUUCUCCAGAUAUAAGAAUAUCAUCCACAUAUUGGAGCAAACGUAGCUGCUUUGGGACAACAACUUUUUCUAAUACUUGCUCUAAGAUUUGACCAAAAAGAUUGAGUGAAUCUGUAAAUCCUUGGGGUAAAACUGUCCAUCUAUACUGUUGUUUCCAUCUUGAAUGGGGACCUUCCCAUUCAAAAGUAAAUAUAUCCUGGCUGUCUUCAGCCAAGGGACCUGCCCAGAAUGCAUCCUUUAAGUCUAUUACUGUGAACCACUGAUGACUGUGUGAAAUUUUACUAAGAAUGGUGUAAGGGUUGGGUACAACAGAAUGAGUGGUCUGGACUAUUUGAUUGAUAGCUGUAAGGUCCUGCACUAGUUGGUAUGACCCAUCUGAUUUUUUGACUGGUAAAAUUGGAGUGUUGUAUGAGGACAUACAAGGUUCAAGUAGUCCAUCUUUAAUAAGACUCUCAAUUACAGGCUUUAACCCUACCCUUCUUCUAAAGGGAUAGGGUAUUGCUUUCUUCUCACUACCUCCCCUGGAGUCCUUAACCUGAUAUGUAUUGGAGGAAUUCGUAGCUUUCCUCAGUUUCCUUCCCUUGGCCAGACAUCGAGAUGAAUGGACUUCUCAUCUGCUGUGGUAAGCAAAUUUAAGGAAGUUAGAACACCCUUUGGGCCAACUUGCAGACCUAUACCUAGUUUUAACAUUGAAUCUCUCCCUAACAGAUUGGUUCCUGCUUCAGGAAUUAACAAAAGUUGAAUACAAGUUGACUGAUCUUGGUAUUUUGCUUCUGUAUUUUCUAAAACUUUCUCCUUAAAUUCUUCUCCUUUUACCCCAGAAACUAGCAAUUCCUCUGUAGAACAAGUUAAAUCAGCUGGGGGAAAACAAACAGACAAGCAAGCAGCUCCUGAGUCAAUUAAAAAGGUCUUGGCUGGAAAUUUUGGUCUGCUGCCAGAACAUUUUGGCCCAGAGGAUGGUCACACUCCCAGACCACCACAGCAGCUCUGCGGAUCAUGUUCUGCUCUUCCCCUGAAAAGAGGAUACCUAGGAUGGACAUUAAUUCAGCCCAGGUAUAUAACUGCGGGCCUAAAAACUGAUCAAUUUGAUCUGCCACUCCAUAAGGAUCAUCUAAUAAUGGCUUGAGUUCUUUUUUUUUAAGACUUCGGACUUCGGAACCAGUUAAGGGAGCAUUUACAAGGCAAAUUGCCCCCCCUUGUGGUACCUCCCUUAAAAGAAAGAACUUUGAAGAUGAAUCCUUAGAAGUGGGGAGGGGGAAAGGAAGACUCUGAAUAUCCUUUCUACAUUGUUGUAUUUCCCGUUGAAGUCCUUUCUUUAAAGAAGGAUAUUCAGACUGACAAAACUUGGGUCCCUGGGACAAUAACUUCCAGGAGUCCGGGUUGUAUGGGGGAGGAAUAACCUGAGUAUGAGGAUCCAGAGGAGAGUCUGGAACUGGGUCUGGGAUGGGGUUUGGGGCGGCGGCAAUUGCUUGAGGAGGGAGUGGUGGGUUUUUGAGAAGUGGGGGAUGGUGGUCUAGAGGGUCCCACUUACUCGUGGAUGUCUUAGAAGUAGAAACUUUGUUCUCAGAUGAGACAGCCUCUGAGUCCUUUUUACCUUCUAGUUCCUUCCCAUCUAUUCUUAGCGGGUAGAGAAGAACGGCCCCUGCCGCCAGCACAGAGCAUAGUCUAUUUCUUCUUGUGAGAGAGGACUCUUGUCAUUAACAUACAUUAUUAGGAGUUGACAAACCCAGUCCCCAUCCAACCCAAACUUUGGCCAGAAAACUGUGGGCUUGAGGAUUGGCUCUUUAGUCCAAAUAAAGCAGCAAUACUUUAUCAUUUGCUGCUUUCCCUUGAGUUUAGUCCUCUCAUUGUCUUUCCAAUACUUUAACAUAAGCCCUAAAGGACUAUCGGUGGGGGGGAUUUGACCAUCUGCAUUCUUUCCCUUCCCUGUUUUACUAGAAAUAUUCCCUAUACUGAGUACCAGUUAGACUCAACCUCUCGACCCAGAGUUUUCUUGCUUAUCCCGUUUUCCAGAGGCUUGCUUAAAACAACCUCACGUAUGGCCGGGCGCAGUGGCUCACACCUGUAAUCCCAGCACUUUG
rnacentral:lncRNA from 1 species